AGUGAACGCUGGCGGUAGGCCUAACACAUGCAAGUCGAACGGCAGCACAGUAAGAGCUUGCUCUUACGGGUGGCGAGUGGCGGACGGGUGAGGAAUACAUCGGAAUCUACUUUUUCGUGGGGGAUAACGUAGGGAAACUUACGCUAAUACCGCAUACGACCUACGGGUGAAAGCAGGGGAUCUUCGGACCUUGCGCGAUUGAAUGAGCCGAUGUCGGAUUAGCUAGUUGGCGGGGUAAAGGCCCACCAAGGCGACGAUCCGUAGCUGGUCUGAGAGGAUGAUCGGCCACACUGGAACUGAGACAGGGUCCAGACUCCUACGGGAGGCAGCAGUGGGGAAUAUUGGACAAUGGGCGCAAGCCUGAUCCAGCCAUACCGCGUGGGUGACGAAGGCCUUCGGGUUGUAAAGCCCUUUUGUUGGGAAAGAAAAGCAGCAGGUUAAUACCCCGCUGUUCUGACGGUACCCAAAGAAUAAGCACCGGCUAACUUCGUG
rnacentral:rRNA from 1 species